GUUGGCAUUGACCCAAAAGUAAGUUGUUAUCACCUUAAAAUUGAUCCCAAGUUUGCCUCGAAUAGACAAAAGUGAAGACCUUUCAACCUUGAAAGGUAUGAAGCCCUGAGGAAGAGGUUGAAAAGUUGAUAACCAAUGGCUUCAUUAGAGAAACCUUAUAUCUGAGGUGGAUCUCCAAUCUAGUCCUCUUGAAGAAGCAUAGUGGCAAGUGGAGAGGAUAUAUAGAUUUCUCCAAACAUAACCAAGAUUGCCCAAAGUUUCUUUAUUCUAAGGGUGGAUUAACAAGUGGAUGCCACCGUGUAGUAUGAAUUGUUGAUUUUUAUAUACGCAUUUUAAGGCUAUAAUUAGACUUAUAUAUGCAUCUCGCAUAGGAGAAAAACACUUUUUCAUCAUUGAUAUAGGCAUCUAUGCUAAAAGGUAAUGUCAUUUGGGCUAAAAAACACCUAAGUUACCUAUUAAAGACUUGUCAACUAGAUGUUUGCGGACCUCAUUAGUAAAAUCAUGAAGGAAUACAUGGAUGAUAUGCUCAUAAAGAACCUAAAAAAUGACCAUGUCAAGCACCUAGAUGCUACUUUCCAAAUCAUGAAGAGGUAAAAAU
rnacentral:lncRNA from 1 species